ACGAGUGCGCCAGCAACCCUUGUCGUAAUGGAGGAACAUGUACUGAUGACGUCAACCGUUAUCUGUGCCAGUGCAUGGCCGGAUGGGCAGGAGUCAACUGUCUAAUAAACUUGAAUGAAUGUUUGAGUCAACCUUGUCUACACGAUGGGAUUUGCUUGGACGGAAUAAACAGUUACACAUGUCAGUGUACAGAUGGAUGGGCAGGCACCAAUUGUGGAGUUGACAUCGAUGAAUGUGCUGAUGAACCGUGUGAAAAUGGUGGAGUCUGUGUGGACGGGUUGAACAGCUAUACAUGUACAUGCAUUGAAGGAUGGGAAGGGUCAACAUG